CGGAGGCUGCAACGUGGCCUGAUGCCUCCCAACUGGCAGUAGCCCCACCGGACACACGUUCCAGGUAUUUGACGGAGCAGGAACUGGGUCAGUUAUUCUUGUCAUUCAUUAUCACUCAUGAGGAAAAAAAAAACGAGUGUAGAAAAUGCAGAGUUAAUUUGGGAAGCUUUCAGGGAUGCGUCCAAGCGGCCUCCGUUUCCUGAGCAUCCGUCUUCCAAAGCCUUGACAUAUUUGAACAUCUCCCUGUCUUGAAACCCCAUUUGUUGGGUGCGACUCGACCCUGGGUUUCAGCUGGAGGUCCAUCUCCAAGGCAUUUUGGACUCGGAAAUCUGGACUCGGCCAAGGAUUCCACCUGGAUGGAUUUCCAUUUUCCUUCCUCUGCCGGCAUUUCGGUGGUGGCCUAUUUAUAGCUCCGGUGCUGGAGAAGGAGGAGUGGGCUGUAUUCUGCCAACCUCAGCAGAAAGCAGGCCAUUGAGGCUGGCCUUUCCUUCCCUUUCCCUUUCCUUUCAGCUCUUCUUACGGCCAGGAAGCUCAGGUGGAAUCUCCUCUCCUGCCAUUUGGACCCAGGGCUCCAUUGAGUCCUAGUUUCCAGGACAGUAAACACAACCCUGCUCCUUCCUUAGGCCGGGCAUCCUUUCAGAUAUUUAAACAUGGCUCAUGUCCCCUUCUCUCAUCCUGCUCUUCUGCAGGUGAAAUAGUCCCAGGUCUUUAAGCUGCUCCAUGGCUUCCAGAACUUGAUCCUUUGAGUCACUCUUUGGUCACCUUCCACCUUGUCCAUCUCCUUGUGUUAUUCCAGCCCUUUGUCCUGCUCUGUUUGUGUCAAACCACUUCAUCACAUGCGUGAAAUUCUACUGAGCCGCCCACUUUAAGACACGCCAAGCUCCUGUGUUCAUCCCAUGACAUAGGAUUCCAAUGUAGAGUACAGGUAUGUCAUGCCAGGAUGGCCAUUGAAUCCCAUUGAAUCAUAGAAUAAUAGAGUUGGAAGAGACCUCAUAGCCUAUUUAGUCCAACCCCCUGCCAUGCAGGAAAAGCACAAUCAAAGCACCCCCGACAGAUGGCCAUCCAGCCUCUGUUUAAAAGUUUCCAAGGAAGGAACUAUUGUGCCAAAUUGCUAUGUGUGUGUGUGUAAAGAAAUCCUUGCAAAAGUUAUUUGCGAAAGAUCUCAGCAAAAGAGCUCAGCUUUUUGCAGAGGUAAAGCCACGCCUCAAACAAUGUAUCGGUUUGAUGGCAGAUGGCUGGUUUUGUCAGUUGGGAAUCUGGCCUUCCAGGGAGAGCACAGAAAAGACAUGCUCUCUAGCUACGGUCAAGUAGCAGUUUAAAUAUGCUAUGCUGGAUAUAUUGAAUGCUGAUUGAUUAGUUAUUGAUCUUAUGCAACUACAUGGACAUUGUACGAUUGCAGAACUGUUUUAUAUUUCAACUCAACAAGCAAGAGUGAAGUUCCUUUGUUCUUUCAA